GACGAACCGUGCAAACGUUGUUCGGAUUCACUGGGCUUAAAGGGCGCGUAGGCGGACCCAAAAGUCCGGGGUGAAAUCUUUCGGCUUAACCGGAAAAUUGCCUUGGAUACUGUGGGUCUCGAGGGAGGUAGGGGCAUGCGGAACUUCCGGUGGAGCGGUGAAAUGCGUUGAUAUCGGAAGGAACUCCGGUGGCGAAAGCGGCGUGCUGGAUCUCUACUGACGCUGAGGCGCGCAAGCCAGGGGAGCAAACGGG
rnacentral:rRNA from 1 species